CAAAACAAUUUAAACUUCAUUAAGCGAGUCUUACUUUCUCAUUUCCAAAGCAACAGCACCACCCUGUGUUCACUUCAGGAAUGGCAGGGCAUUCUCUGACGAUCGCCAAAGUCAUGCUUUUCAAAUAUUACUUCAAGAUGUUAAAUAGCUUCUUUCAUUGUUCAAAUACAAAAAAAAAUAAA